AUGUAUACAUUGUAUUUUUGUUUAUGAUGCUUCUUCGUCUGGGUUUGUGACAACACUGUCAUUUGGUUUUUCUUGGCUAAGCAAUAUUGUAUUCGGAACGAGUGGAUGUUUUUCUCCGAUCAAAGAUUUCCGUUAGCCCCAAAAAUAUAUGAAAAUCGUCUUUUUCAAUUGUUAUGGAGUGGAACUAUAUAUAGUUAUGAUCUCGAUUUUUCUUCUUGUUGGCUUCCCUGGCCGAAGAACACGUAGCGUGGGGACAUGCUGAAAAAGAUUUUCACGAAGAAAAAAGAAAAAGAAAGGUGGUUUUUCUAUAUAAAAAAAAAGUUUAUGAACUUUAGAAAAACUAACAAAAACAUGUGUCAUUUCACGCAUAAAGUAUAUACAAUCUUACGAUUUUUAUGAGUAAUUAAUU
rnacentral:lncRNA from 1 species